ACUUAACGUAGCGCUGUAAAAUCAAAGCAAUAACGUGACUUACUAAUUACGUGGUCUGUUGUUACCCAUUGACUCCCCCUUUCACUCGCACGCGGCGCUCCAAGACAUGCACAGUGGUUUUCUCUGAGCGGGAGGAGAAGAUGUUGGUCUAUAACAUAAUAGU